rnacentral:rRNA from 1 species
CCUACUGGUGGCUGCAGUGGGGGCUAUUGCACAAUGGGGGGAACCCUGAUGCAGCGCCGCCGCGUGGGGGAAGGAGUGCUUCGGCAUGUAAAGCCCUAUCGGCAGGGAAGAAGCAAGACGGUACCUGACUAAGAAGCCCCGGCUAACUACGUGCCAGCAGCCGCGGUAAUACGUAGGGGGCGAGCGUUAUCCGGAUGCACUGGGGGUACAGGGAGCGUAGGCGGCCCUGCAAGCCAGGGGUGACAGCGCGGGGCCCAACCCCGGGACUGCCCUUGGAACUGUGCGGCUAGAGUGCGGGAGGGGCAGGCGGAAUGCCUGGUGUAGCGGUGAAAUGCGUAGAUAUCAGGAGGAACACCGGCGGCGAAGGCGGCCUGCUGGACUGCGACUGACGUUGAGGCUCGAAAGCGUGGGGAGCGAACAGGAUUAGAUACCCGAGUAGUC